rfam:Medicago truncatula strain A17 chromosome 4, whole genome shotgun sequence.
AUGACGUGUAACAUGCCCGUUGUGGAACUACUCUGAUGAAUAUUUGUAAUAUAAUUGUUUUUGGGUAACGGGGUGUUACAUGUAG